rnacentral:rRNA from 1 species
GACGAACGCUGGCGGCGUGCUUAACACAUGCAAGUCGAACGGAAAGGCCCUGCUUUUGUGGGGUGCUCGAGUGGCGAACGGGUGAGUAGCACGUGAGUAACCUGCCCUUGACUUUGGGAUAACUUCAGGAAACUGGGGUUAAUACCGGAUAGGAGCUCCUGCUGCAUGGUGGGGGUUGGAAAGUUUCGGCGGUUGGGGAUGGACUCGCGGCUUAUCAGCUUGUUGGUGGGGUAGUGGCUUACCAAGGCUUUGACGGGUAGCCGGCCUGAGAGGGUGACCGGCCACAUUGGGACUGAGAUACGGCCCAGACUCCUACGGGAGGCAGCAGUGGGGAAUAUUGUACAAUGGGCGGAAGCCUGAUGCAGCAGCGCCGCGUGCGGGAUGACGGCCUUCGGGUUGUAAACCGCUUUCGCCUGUGACGAAGCGUGAGUGACGGUAAUGGGUAAAGAAGCACCGGCUAACUACGUG